UUUGCCAUCAAGAGCCAGCCAUCCUAAUCUGUUUGCUUGAGCCAGCUAUCAUUGCUUCCAUAUUUUUUUUUCAAUUCUGUUGCAGAUUUCUUGUUUUUACUGCAUAAUUGGCAACUCAAUAGGUGAAUUUGAGUUUCUGCUUGUUUCUGUGCAUAGCAACUGUUUGAUCAUGUUUCAUUGAACAUUUAAAACUUGUUUGAAUGGUCUACUUGCUCUUUUCCCAGCCACAACAUCAUUUCACAUCUUAAACCAUCAUUUUGCUAGCCAUAUGCAAGUGUAUACCUCAUCUUGAGAUCCUUACUGUUUUGGAUCAGUUUCAUUGAGUUUGGAGUCGGUUUUG
rnacentral:lncRNA from 1 species